rnacentral:rRNA from 1 species
UACGUAGGGUGCGAGCGUUGCCCGGAUUUAUUGGGCGUAAAGGGCGCGUAGGCGGCCACGCACGUCCGUUGUGAAAUCGCCCGGCUCAACUGGGCGGGGUCAGCGGAUACGGUGUGGCUCGAGCAAGCUAGGGGGCAAUGGAAUUCCCGGUGUAGUGGUGGAAUGCGUAGAUAUCGGGAGGAACACCAGUGGCGAAGGCGGUUGCCUGGAGCUUUGCUGACGCUGAGGCGCGAAA